rnacentral:rRNA from 1 species
CCUACGGGAGGCAGCAGUGAGGAAUAUUGGUCAAUGGGCGAGAUCCUGAACCAGCCAAGCCGCGUGAGGGAAGACGGCCCUAUGGGUUGUAAACCUCUUUUGUCGGAGAACAAAACCCGCGACGUGUCCCGGACUGCGUGUAUCCGAAGAAAAAGCAUCGGCAAACCCCGUGCCAGCAGCCGCGGUAAUUCGGAGGAUGCGAGCGUUAGCCGGGUUUAUUGGGUUUAAAGGGUGCGUAGGGGGGCGGCUAAGUCAGCGGUAAAAUUGCGGGGCUCAACCCCGGCCAGCCGUUGAAACUGGCGGACUUGAGUUGGCGAGAAGUAGGCGGAAUGCGCGGUGUAGCGGUGAAAUGCAUAGAUAUCACGCAGAACUCCGAUUGCGAAGGCAGCGUACCGGCGCCAGACUGACGCUGAGGCACGAAAGCGUGGGGAUCGAACAGGAUUAGAUACCCUUGUAGUC